rnacentral:tRNA from 1 species
GUGGCCGUAGCUCAGUAGGUAGAGCAUCGGAUUGUGGCUCCGAAGGUCGCGGGUUCGAGUCCCGUCGGUCACCCUA